rnacentral:other from 1 species
AACCCCCUGCGGUGUUCGAGAGGACUGUCUUCCUCCUGAGCCGAUAACUACGAGCCCUGGGAUCCUGCGCUGUCCGUGGAGAGUCUGCUGUAUUGCUGACCGGAAGCGGUUAUCGGGAGCCCACUUAAUCCAAGGGUUCAGAGAGAGCGCGUCUAACGGCACAUGUGGGGGGGUU